rnacentral:rRNA from 1 species
GACGAACGCUGGCGGCGUGCCUAAUACAUGCAAGUAGAACGCUGAAGAGAGGAGCUUGCUCUUCUUGGAUGAGUUGCGAACGGGUGAGUAACGCGUAGGUAACCUGCCUGGUAGCGGGGGAUAACUAUUGGAAACGAUAGCCAAUACCGCAUGACAUUGAUUAUCGCAUGAUAAUUGAUUGAAAGAUGCAAUUGCAUCACUACCAGAUGGACCUGCGUUGUAUUAGCUAGUUGGUGAGGUAACGGCUCACCAAGGCGACGAUACAUAGCCGACCUGAGAGGGUGAUCGGCCACACUGGGACUGAGACACGGCCCAGACUCCUACGGGAGGCAGCAGUAGGGAAUCUUCGGCAAUGGGGGGAACCCUGACCGAGCAACGCCGCGUGAGUGAAGAAGGUUUUCGGAUCGUAAAGCUCUGUUGUAAGAGAAGAACGGGUGUGAGAGUGGAAAGUUCACACUGGACG